CUUUUAAAGGAAAAAGCUCAUCCGCUGACUUUAGGAGUCAAAACUCUUAGUGCAAGUCUAAGUAAAAGA
rnacentral:tRNA from 1 species